rnacentral:rRNA from 1 species
GGGAUGACGUCAAGUCCUCAUGGCCCUUACGCGCUGGGCUACACACGUGCUACAAUGGCGGUGACAGUGGGCAGCAAUCCCGCAAGGGUGAGCUAAUCUCCAAAAGCCGUCUCAGUUCGGAUUGUUCUCUGCAACUCGAGAGCAUGAAGGCGGAAUCGCU